rnacentral:rRNA from 1 species
UGAGGAAUAUUGCGCAAUGGGGGAAACCCUGACGCAGCAACGCCGCGUGGGUGAAGAAGGCCUUCGGGUCGUAAAGCCCUUUCGGACGGGACGAACGCUCCGCGGUGACAACCCGCGGAGCCUGACGGUACCGUAAGAAGAAGCACCGGCUAACUCCGUGCCAGCAGCCGCGGUAAUACGGAGGGUGCAAGCGUUGUUCGGAAUUACUGGGCGUAAAGCGCGUGUAGGCGGCCUUGCAAGCCAGACGUGAAAGCCCUCGGCUUAACCGGGGAAGUGCGUCUGGAACUGCUCGGCUCGAGUACGGGAGAGGGAGGCGGAAUUCCCAGUGUAGAGGUGAAAUUCGUAGAUAUUGGGAGGAACACCGGUGGCGAAAGCGGCCUCCUGGACCGAUACUGACGCUGAGACGCGAAAGCGUGGGGAGCAAACAGGAUUAGAUACCCUGGUAGUCCACGCUGUAAACGAUGGGCACUAGGUGUGGGGGGUAUCCACUCCUCCCGCGCCGCAGCUAACGCAUUAAGUGCCCCGCCUGGGGAGUACGGCCGCAAGGUUA